UGGGGAAUAUUGGACAAUGGGCGCAAGCCUGAUCCAGCCAUGCCGCGUGAGUGAUGAAGGCCCUAGGGUUGUAAAGCUCUUUCACCGGUGAAGAUAAUGACGGUAACCGGAGAAGAAGCCCCGGCUAACUUCGUGCCAGCAGCCGCGGUAAUACGAAGGGGGCUAGCGUUGUUCGGAUUUACUGGGCGUAAAGCGCACGUAGGCGGACUGUUAAGUCAGGGGUGAAAUCCCGGGGCUCAACCCCGGAACUGCCUUUGAUACUGGUAGUCUUGAGUUCGAGAGAGGUGAGUGGAAUUCCGAGUGUAGAGGUGAAAUUCGUAGAUAUUCGGAGGAACACCAGUGGCGAAGGCGGCUCACUGGCUCGAUACUGACGCUGAGGUGCGAAAGCGUGGGGAGCAAACAGG
rnacentral:rRNA from 1 species